AACCAAAGAGCUGCUGGUCACGGCAAGAUACAAACUCGCCGGAGCUCUGAGUGAACUGCACAUCCGGGACCUUCAGCACUCAGCAGAGAUUUGUCUUGACGUAUGUAUUUACCUUUGAUAUCCAUGACUCGACGCACAUUUAGCAAGUUAAAGGGACCUGUGGCCUUGCACGUGCUCUGCAUCUUCAACUGCACAGACAAAUCAUUUGUGCCAGCUACUUCCCUGCUCUCCUUCC